UACGAAGGGGGCUAGCGUUGUUCGGAAUUAUCUGGGCGGUAAAGGGCGCGUAGGCGGUGUGUCAAGUCAAGGCGGUGAAAGCCCCGGGCCUCAACCUGGGAAACCGCGCUUGAGACGUGGCACGCUCGGAAGUUCGGGGAGAGGAUGGUGGGAAAUUCCCAGUGUAGAAGGUGAAAUUCGUAGAUAUUGGGAAGAACACCGGAUGGC
rnacentral:rRNA from 1 species